UCAGACCCACCUCAAUGAUGUCAGUGAUUUUGGUUCUCCGUUUGAGUAACGUUAACAGGCGUGUUAUUUUGUGACAGAACAGCGGCUCAAGGUACGGUACCGCCUGUUAAUGCUUCAGGGAGCUGAUGAAUCCAGGAUGGAUAUUUUUGACGAUGUCACUCUAUCGGUAUUGGAGGCGGCCAGUGUUGAUGAGGAGGCUUUGAAAGGCCUUAGCCGGGAUGACCUGAGGGAUCUUUUUCCUGGCCCUGAACAUUUUUUCAGAAGAAAGAAACUUUGGGAUUUCAUCAGUCAAAAUUGUGAAAAUACCACGGACCAAGAUGCCAGCACUUGUAGUGGAAGUGGGAUUAUGCCCUCAACUAGUGCCAUGCCACCAUGCCAGCCUCAAGCCUCAAC